CUCUCUCUCUCUCUCUCUCUCUCUCUCUCUCUCUCUCUCUCUCUCUGUGUGUUACAUGAUUGGAGUGGCUGUAUUCCAAUGAGCUGCUGGACGGGUAUGUCUGCAGUUGCCACUGUCAUCCCUCAUUUAGAGCAUUGCUACUUAAGCUGUGGUCUGCAGAAGCUAACCAUUUUAUCGUCGUGUGGGAGUCCUUGGAAAGCAUAGGCUCUGUCCCUACGCUGGGCCUGUCGUCUCGGGAACGGUGUUCUUAAAGGAUUUCCAGGUGAUUCAUAGGUGUUUGCGUUUGUGAAGCCAUGGCCGCAGAUGGUAGCACACGGGAGACAUCUGGACAUAUAUUGUAUCCUGCUCAUUGGGGUUGGCACUCUCAGAGUGUAACUGUGAGCCCUUUUCUUCCCCUGCUUCCUCCUCACCCACUAACCGCAUGCUCUGCUUCGGCUGUCAGCUUGCCUCACCACCUCCUCAGCCUAGCAGCUGCUCAUUCCCCAGUUUCUGCGUCCUCAUGGGAGGUUGUUGGGAACUCGUCAGAUGCGAAGGCUUUGGCUUGCUUGCAUCUCUGCUGAAAACAUGGUUGUGCGCCUUACUUUCGGGAGGCAGGGGGCGCAUAUCACCUGCCCGCUUUGCCACAGCAUCUCUUUCAAGAGUCAAAUGUAAACAAGAAAGGGAGUUCAGGUCACAUUUCUCUUUGCAUACUGGAUAUGGAAGAGCCUGCAAUAAUUAUUAAACUUUUUGGUAAUAUUGGAUUGACAACGAGUUUCUUCCUAGGAGAUGCCUGGACGGUGGCUGCCAUUUUUUUCUCACACUAUGGCUGCCCUCUGCCCUUGGUGAAGACAAAGGUCAUCAAAAAGAACACCAAGGAGUUUAUCCAUCAUAAGUUAGACUGAUAAGUCAAAAUUAAGUGAAAUUGAUAGAACCCCCGAGGUACAAACAACAAGUUCUGGAGACGUUUAAGGGCGAGACCCUGAUUCUUCACAUCAGUUAGGGGAGCAACAUGAAAGCAAAUCACAUUCCCGCUUCACAGCCUCUGGAAGUUUCUGGUCCACAGGUGAAGGAACUGGAGGAACUGAUGAUGUGCAGGAAAUCUUACUGUGCCGAGAUCUCUUACAACAUGGCCGCCAAGAACGGCAAAGCCAUCAUGCAAAGAACAGCACAGCUAGUCAUCGGAGCCACUAAUCCCACUUCGAGGCUGCACACUAAAAAAAGUAGAUGGCUCAUGUGAAUAUUUUAUUGGUGCUUAAGUAAAGCUACAGAAACUGCAAAGUAAAUAAAUAAAUAAUAACAGCAAGUCCAAAAAAGAAACACUCUGAGAGUGCUGGAGGUUGCAAGGCAAUUGAGCUGUUUCCGAAUUUUCGUAAAUGGAACCCAGAGGCCUUAAUUAUGAUGUAUAUUUCUUCAAGUGAAGCUUUCGAAUAAAUCAUAAUAGGCAAUUAUAUAAUUUUCCUGCUGUUCCCCAUCCCCUUCCCUUUAUCCUUUCUUAUUAGUACAGGACCUCUACAUAAUAAACUGGCCCAUACUGGGUUGAUUUGCAUAGGUGCACGCUGAUUAUUUAGCCUUGAAGUCUGAUUACAAGUCUCCCUAGAAGAGCUGCCUAGGCUGGACUGAAUAUCCUUCAGCGGAGGAGGUAGAGAGCUGGCUUUGGCUCUCGCUGAGCAGUUGCCUGUCUUCAUUAUCCGACAACUUUUCUACCCAGAGCAGAGCAUCUCAUAUGUAGCAGCUUCUCAGAUGAGGCUAUAAACAUAAGGACUGCAGAAACGCUCGCUGCACUUGACUGAACGGUAGUUGGGGAAGGAGGCAGUACAGAGACAGCGAGCACCUGAUGGAACCAGGCAGCUGAGAACCUGAAGAUCCAGUAACUCGUCUUUCCUCAUGGACCACCAAUGAGGAUGACCGGAGACAUCCAGCCUUUACCUUAUACAAAAUGAGGACGGUUUCAGAUUUCUCUAAACUCACAACUAAUGACCUCAUGGAACUUUGCAACACUGUUUGGAGAAUACUCCCCCCUCCCAAUAUCCUUCAAAGAUAUGUGGCUUCAGGCUUCUAGCAUUCUUUUGCAUAUGAUACAGUACCUCGAAGCCUACAGCUCGAGCUUUCUUUCCUCUUGUUUGACAGACAGCUUAGGGUGAGUCGGAGCAAAACACUCAUCAAUCAAGCCUGGUCCUGGUGAGCUCUGACAUCCUGCAGUGAUGUUGACUGCUGGGAACGUCUCAAGCUCACCUUGGGUCAAGCGUGUAGACCAAGCCAUGGUUUCCUGGCUCCCGUAUCUAAUAUUUGAGUAUAGAGCUCUGAGUACAGAUCUCUAACAGAAGGAAAACUGGGCAAUUCUGAAGCUUCACUCCUAAGACUUGUGUCCAUCACUUUCCUGGAGAAGCCAUAGUUGUUCAGCAAUAGCUUAUUGCUAUGUCUCUACUUCAUGUGCUCUUUCUAGCCUGCAUUAACUGCUAUUUGUAUAGGUGUCUAAAGUCACUUGCAAGAGAAGCUCAGAGCCACGAUGCUAGGAGUGGGAGCUUUCCUGGGGAAUAAAAAAACACUGUGAAA